AGCUGUAACACUCACUGGGAAGGUCUGCGGAUUCACUACUGAUGUCAAGUGGGACCAUGAACCCACCAGAAGGAAGAAACUCUGGACACAUCUGAACAUCUGAAGGAACAAACUCUGGACACACCAUCUUUAAGAACUACAACACUCACCCCAAGGGUCCACAGCUUCAUUCUUGAAGUCAGCAAGACUAAGAACCCACCAGAAGGAACAAAUUCUGGUCACACCAUGGGGAUUGGAAUAUAGUCUGUUGAAAUUGUGGGACCCAUCCACUCCUCACUAGAUUGUAUCCUCAACCCUAUCUGACCUUAUUGCUGCUCACACUCUGUGUCCCAGGAUGAAAUCUCAAGAUGAUGGAGGAGUGCCCCCUUUGACCUGAAGCACCUGCUCAGCUAGGAACCAAAUUCAAGGGGGAGGUGACUUGGACGCUGGCAAGUCUCGACCCGCCCCCCAAUAUACUGGGGAUUCAUGAUCCACAGAAAAAUAGAGAACACAGCCCUGCGACUAAAGCAAAGCCACACAGACAAGCCAUCAAAAUGUUGAGAGACUCAAAUAAAGAAGCACUGAAAUGUGUUAGCCACAUUCUUUUAAGCAGACUCCAUUUGCAGGAACACACACACACAAAGACACAAUACCACACAAACACAUGCAGAAAUCUGACACUCAUAACACUCCCACAGAAACACACAGCCCGGCAGCUUCUGAGGCUGUGUGUUUCUGUAGGAAGCCCCACCUUGGAGAGAGCAACCCCAGGGAACAGAGGCAGGCUCUAACUAAAAAUAUCAUGGGGGCAAGUUUCAUAAAGACUCACUCCUAGAACUCCUGGGCAGGCCUAAGGAAUCCUGCAGAUGAUUUUGGAUCCACAGGGAUUUUGUAGUUUAUUCCUGGGGCUCUGCUUGACAUUUCUUCAGGCUCACUCACAUCUUUCUCUCCUAGGAUCAUGGGAUUAUUCCAUGUAUCCCACAGAGAAGACAGGUGAGAGUCCACCAGCGCACCUCCACAGAGGUCUCUUUCUCCACAAGCUGCAGGGACUUGUCUCUUGCCAACAGUGACAUUCCUUGUGACACUUGCCAGAACUCAAAAUCAGGCAUGGUGCCCUGAGUCUAGCUCAUGCACAUUCGUGAGGCAGGCUCUGGCAUCCGGCUGUCAGAGCUGUCAGCCUGACUAAGCAGAGGAAAAUGCUGCAAGCAGAGCCGGCCUUGUAUCAGG
rnacentral:lncRNA from 1 species